rnacentral:snRNA from 1 species
AUAUUCACCUGACAGGGAAGAUAACAUGAUCACAAAGGUAAUUUUCCUAGGGCGAGGCCUAUCCAUGGCACUCUGGAUGUGCUGACCCCUGCAAUUUCCCCAAAUGUGGGAAACUUGAUAGUUUGUGGUAGUAGGGGACUGCGUUUGCACUCUUCCCUA